AUUGAACGCUGGCGGCAGGCUUAACACAUGCAAGUCGAGCGAGCGGCGGACGGGUGCGGAAGGUCUGGGAAAGCGCCUGAUGGAGGGGGAAAACUACUGGAAACGGUAGCUAAUACCGCAUACCAUGAGAUGUGGCCAGAUGGGAUUAGCUAGUAGGUGGGGUAAGGGCUCACCUAGGCGACGAUCCUUAGCUGGCCUGAGAGGAUGACAAGCCACACUGGAACUGUGGCACGGUCCAGACUCCUACGCGAGGCAGCAGUGCGGGAUAUUGCACGAUGGGCGCAGGCCGGAUGCAGCCAUGCCGCGUGUGUGAAGAAGGCCUUCGGGCUGUAAAGCACUUUCGGCCAGGAGGCAUUACCCGCGGAAUAAGCACCGGCUAACUACGUGCCAGCAGCCGCGGUAAUAC
rnacentral:rRNA from 1 species